rnacentral:tRNA from 1 species
UGAGAUGUAGUUCAGUGGUAAGAGCACAUGCUCAUCUCAUGUCCCUGGGUUCAAUCCCCAGCAUUGCAA